AAGCACUGAUAAACAUGAAAUUGAACAUUCAGCCACAACAUACAAAUACUAAAUCAUCAAACAGUUACAUCAGACGCACAGUGAAACAUACUCAUUCACGUUCUAAGCAUAUUUAUUAAGACACCAAACAUGUAAGCAAAGAAAAUACACGAUACAUAUUGAUGAAGUUCUCUUGAGUUUGGGCCACAAAACACCCACCUCCUCGAUUAGGAACUCCCAAGUUAUUCUUUCUUUCCUAUUCCAAGUGACAUAUUGUAGAUCCCUCGACCCUGAACAAAAGGAAUAUAACAAUGUCAAAAAGAAGAGGAGACUCCCUCAUAACUUAAAACUGAUAAAGUGGAUACAAAUCCUGUGAAGAUUUUCUAACUUACAAUCAGAAACAAUGAAGUUGCUGCCAAAGCAGCUGGUAUUGCUACUGAUGUAACCCUAUCAAAUGGCCCUUUCAAGUAUGUGUGUUUCGGGAUAUGCUGGAAAUACUUUUGCUUUUCAAUAAUCUUCUCUCGUGGUCUAAAGGGUGGUUCCAAAUCCGACAUCCUGCACAAUCUAGUUGUUAUUUGACAACUUUCUCUUAAAUGCUUUUUCCCAACACAGAGUGGGAAUAUUAUAAAAGAGAUAUGACAUGAAAAACAAACAAAAAUGUUCACCCCAAAAAAUCAAUCCUCUACACCUUACAAACAUAACAAUAUUAAAAUACAUUGUUGAAGAAAAAACAACAAAGUUGAAAAGGAUCGUAACAAUAACAAUAAACACACAAAUGCAGCUCCAUACUACUGCUAAACACAUGAAUCGUUCGGGAGAACCCAAGUUCAAUUCCUGGUGGGAACAAUUCUUGGCCAGACUUUACUUACCUCCCAGCCGAACUCCAGAUUACUAGGCCCCCUUCCCCUAUGAACCAAAGGAUUAACACCAAAGACCAAAAUACUACUACUGAACUUCCAAACCAGGCCACAACAUAUAUCAUUCAGUUCACUAAACUUAUAAAUACCAAAACACAAAAGGGUCUAAAGAAAAAUUUCACAUACAUAUCAAGCAUGAACAACAUCAAAAUAUAGUGAUAAAAUCUAACUCCUCUAAAGUGAAGGGUGCACUUGACAAGGUAAAGUUAAGAAUUUACUCAUUAAUUGAAGAACUAUGUAUAAUAUGAUAUUAACCUAUAAAGAUAGUUAAAAAUAACUUAUUGAAUUUCCAAUCAAUUAAUAAUGCAACUCCACAUUUUACAUGUGACUGACUUAUAUUACAUUUUACUAGAAAAAGCUUUACAUAUACAAUGAAACAAAAGUGAAUCAGCAUUUUAGUCCUUAAAAUUAUAGAAGUGGAACUGAUCCCUAAAAUUAUCGAAAUUCUAAAAUAAUCCCUGAAAUUUAAAAUCUUUGAUCACGUUAUCCUAUUGGGUUGAUCAAUUUAGCCUUGAAAUUGUGUCAAAGGGACAAUUUUCGAUAUCAUUUUGAAAUUUGUUUAACUUGAAAAACCAAAUUGUUGUCCCAUACAAUUUCAUAACUAAAUUGAUAAUACACUCAACAAAAUGGGUUUCUAACUUGAUUGAGCCUAUAUAGUGGUAUAAGCACUUGUGAGAACAACUUAUUUUCAUAAGACUAUGAAGCACGGACACUCUUUGGUUAAGGCGUGUCCCCGUGUCAGACACGUGUCGUGUCCGACAUCGACACGACACCGACAAAUAUAAUUACACUGCAUUUUGUGAUUUUCUAAAAAAUUUAGCUGUGUCGGCGUGUCCGUGUCGUGCCUGGUGUCCGUGUCCGUAUACUUGCUUCAUAGUCAUAAGUUCUCAAUAAUAGCUUAAGAAAACAGCUUUUAACUUGUAUACUUACUGAUAAGAUUCAAAAUAAUUGUUAAUUUAUUUAAAUAUAUCCAAUUCUAAUAUUUCAUAGCUAUUACCGUAAAAACAACGAGGAGAGUAAAGAGUAUAAGCUUACUUUGAGCGACGGAGGAGGCGACGGUUGAUGAAGAGAAAAUGGGUCUUCGAUUGGGGUGGGUGGCUAAUAGUUACUUCCUAGAUUCUU
rnacentral:lncRNA from 1 species